rnacentral:snRNA from 1 species
AUGCUUGCUGCGGCAGCACAUAUACUAAAAUUGGAAUGAUACAGAGAUGAUUAGCAUGACCCCUGAGCAAGGAUGACACACAAAUUCAUGAAGUGUUCCAUAUUUUU